GGAGCUUGGGGAGGUGGUCAUGGCGUGGCAUGGAUGCGAGGAAUUGUGAGGAGGUGGGGAAUGUACAUGUAUGAUCUGAUCUGGUGCCAGAAAGAGCUAACUAGGACUUUGUGCAGAUUGAAGGGGGUAGAUUUGUUAGUUCAUUCACUCUGAUUUUGAUGUUUGUGGUUAGAAAUUUUGUAGGAAUGAAUAUAGAUUCUGUGUCUUUGUGCUGCUGGUUGUAGGCUCUUGAAUCUAAUGAUAAUAGC
rnacentral:lncRNA from 1 species